UACGUAGGGUGCAAGCGUUAAUCGGAAUUACUGGGCGUAAAGCGUGCGCAGGCGGUGAUGUAAGACAGAUGUGAAAUCCCCGGGCUCAACCUGGGAACUGCAUUUGUGGACUGCAUCGCUGAGUGCGGCAGAGGGGGAUGGAAUUCCGCGUGUAGCAGUGAAAUGCGUAGAUAUGCGGAGGAACACCGAUGGCGAAGGCAAUCCCCUGGGCCUGCACUGACGCUCAUGCACGAAAGCGUGGGGAGCAAACAGG
rnacentral:rRNA from 1 species